rnacentral:rRNA from 1 species
GACGAACGCUGGCGGCGUGCUUAACACAUGCAAGUCGAACGGAAAGGCCCUGCUUUUGUGGGGUGCUCGAGUGGCGAACGGGUGAGUAACACGUGAGUAACCUGCCCUUGACUUUGGGAUAACUUCAGGAAACUGGGGCUAAUACCGGAUAGGAGCUCCUGCUGCAUGGUGGGGGUUGGAAAGUUUCGGCGGUUGGGGAUGGACUCGCGGCUUAUCAGCUUGUUGGUGGGGUAGUGGCUUACCAAGGCUUUGACGGGUAGCCGGCCUGAGAGGGUGACCGGCCACAUUGGGACUGGGAUGCGGCCCAGACUCCUACGGGAGGCAGCGGUGGGGAAUAUUGCACGAUGGGCGGAAGCCUGAUGCAGCAACGCCGCGUGCGGGAUGACGGCCUUCGGGUUGUAAACCGCUUUCGCCUGUGACGAAGCGUGAGUGACGGUAAUGGGUAAAGAAGCACCGGCUAACUACGUG